GGGCUGCCCGUCCUGAUCAUAUUGUGAUAAUCCUACGAGGGCUUCCAGGUAGUGGUAAGAGCUACUUGGCAAAGAUGAUGCGUGAUCUUGAGGUUGAAAAUGGUGGUAAUGCCCCACGAAUUCAUUCAAUGGACGACUAUUUCAUGACUGAAGUUGAAAAGGUUGAGGACAGUGAUGCUUCAAAAUCUUCUAGCUUGGGUAGAGGCAAGAAACUAACUAUGAAGAAGGUCAUGGAGUAUUGUUAUGAACCCGAAAUGGAGGAGGCCC
rnacentral:misc_RNA from 1 species